UGGGGAAUUUUGGACAAUGGGCGAAAGCCUGAUCCAGCAAUGCCGCGUGUGUGAAGAAGGCCUUCGGGUUGUAAAGCACUUUUGUCCGGAAAGAAAUCCUCUGGGUUAAUACCUCGGGGGGAUGACGGUACCGGAAGAAUAAGCACCGGCUAACUACGUGCCAGCAGCCGCGGUAAUACGUAGGGUGCAAGCGUUAAUCGGAAUUACUGGGCGUAAAGUGUGCGCAGGCGGUUUUGUAAGACGGAUGUGAAAUCCCCGGGCUUAACCUGGGAACUGCAUUCGUGACUGCAAGGCUAGAGUAUGGCAGAGGGGGGUUAGAAUUCCACGUGUAGCAGUGAAAUGCGUAGAGAUGUGGAGGAAUACCGAUGGCGAAGGCAGCCCCCUGGGCCAAUACUGACGCUCAUGCACGAAAGCGUGGGGAGCAAACAGGAUUAGAUACCCUGGUAGUCCACGCCCUAAACGAUGUCAACUAGUUGUUGGGGACUUCAUUUCCUUAGUAACGUAGCUAACGCGUGAAGUUGACCGCCUGGGGAGUACGGUCGCAA
rnacentral:rRNA from 1 species